rnacentral:tRNA from 1 species
GAGAGAGGCACGCCGCAACAAAGGUCGCUACCCUUAGUUUCUUCGGUUGGACUCCGAUGCUCCCUCG